rnacentral:rRNA from 1 species
AGUGAACGCUGGCGGUAGGCCUAACACAUGCAAGUCGAACGGCAGCACAGUAAGGGCUUGCUCUUACGGGUGGCGAGUGGCGGACGGGUGAGGAAUACAUCGGAAUCUACUUUUUCGUGGGGGAUAACGUAGGGAAACUUACGCUAAUACCGCAUACGACCUACGGGUGAAAGCAGGGGAUCUUCGGACCUUGCGCGAUUGAAUGAGCCGAUGUCGGAUUAGCUAGUUGGCGAGGUAAAGGCCCACCAAGGCGACGAUCCGUAGCUGGUCUGAGAGGAUGAUCAGCCACACUGGAACUGAGACACGGUCCAGACUCCUACGGGAGGCAGCAGUGGGGAAUAUUGGACAAUGGGCGCAAGCCUGAUCCAGCCAUACCGCGUGGGUGAAGAAGGCCUUCGGGUUGUAAAGCCCUUUUGUUGGGAAAGAAAAGCAGCAGGUUAAUACCCCGCUGUUCUGACGGUACCCAAAGAAUAAGCACCGGCUAACUUCGUG